AGGAGAAGUGAUGAUCACAAUCCAACUUUUCUGUUAUUUGAUGAUGAAUAUCAAACAUGCACUACCAUCUGAUCUCUC